GAUGAAAAUCUGAGGUGCCCGACGCAUAACAUUUUGAACGUGCCACGGAGGAUCAAGGCAAAAAACGAGAGCAAAAAAUGGUGCACGCUGAAGGCGGAAAUGAAGCAUGAUCUGGCUUGCAUCUGGUCAUGAAGAAAUUGCUGACACAUUAGUUGCAGUCCACCUCCACCAACAGGGUGGAAAACAAAGAUCGCCAUUCCGAUUAGCUGCUAUCUCCCAGUUCAAACACUUUUGUGUCUGGACACUGGUUCCUGUGGAUGGGGUGUUACAAGCUUUACUGUCUGAUAUAGAAGUGAUGAGCAUCCAUAAGGACACAUGCCAGAAAGGGAGUCUCUUUGGGAUGACAAACCCUCAUCACCUCAUGAGGAUACAAUGGUUGACAAAUGGUUCUCAAGCACAUCGAAACUUCCAACAAAUAAUUCAUGAAAAAGCCAGUCAGUGCUAGCACCAGGAAUUGA